rnacentral:lncRNA from 1 species
CUUUUACAAUAAUUUGUUACAAAAAAUUAGUUACUUCCGGUUUACAAAAGGUCACUUCCGGUUAGCUUUUUCAACGUCAUACUGCUUGCAACCUUAUGCAAAAAGUCAAAUACCUUUAACAUGAAUACAUAUGAGGUAAAAGCAAAGGUCAAAAUCUAGAACGUUAAAUUAACAUAUGACCUUGAGCUCAAUUUCAAGGUCAUGAACCAAGGACAUCAAAUCAAAAGACUCUAGGUCUUUACUUUAUAUUGUUAAUGAGUUAUAUUACCAUACGACUGAUAUUAGAUAUAAAAGGGGGAAAAACUCGCAACAAAUGUUUACGUACCCUUUCGACUAAAAUUUAUGUGUAACUACAUGUCGCGACUAUCAAUUAUGUGAAAAUAUUUUGUCG